GUGGCGCCGGCAAGAUGGAUAAGUGUCGUGGUCUCCGUACUGCCCAGAAGCUCCGCAGUCACCGACGGGACCAGAAGCGGCAUGAUAAACAGUACAAGAAAGCCCACUUGGGCACAGCCCUGAAGGCCAAUCCGUUUGGGGGUGCCUCUCACGCAAAGGGAAUUGUGCUGGAAAAAGUAGGGGUUGAAGCCAAACAGCCAAAUUCUGCCAUCCAGAAGUGUGUCAGGGUGCAGCUCAUUAAGAACGGCAAGAAGAUCACAGCCUUCGUGCCCAAUGACGGUUGCUUGAACUUCAUUGAGGAAAACGAUGAAGUUCUGGUUGCUGGAUUUGGUCACAAAGGCCAUGCCGUGGGUGAUAUAUUCCUGGAGUCUGCUUUAAGGUGGUUAAAGUAGCCACUGUGUCUCUUUUGGCU
rnacentral:lncRNA from 1 species